AGUCGAGGGGCAACGCGAGUAGCAAUACUUGGCGGCGACCGGCGCAAGGGUGCGUAACGCGUGAGCAACAUGCCCGUAUCAGGGGGAUAAUCCAGGGAAACUUGGUCUAAUACCCCAUAGUAAUUUUGUAAGGCAUCUUAUAAGAUUUAAAGCUUUGGUGGAUACGGAUUGGCUCGCGUGACAUUAGCUGGAUGGUAAGGUAACGGCUUACCAUGGCUAUGAUGUCUAGGGGUUCUGAGAGGAAGGUCCCCCACACUGGAACUGAGACACGGUCCAGACUCCUACGGGAGGCAGCAGUGAGGAAUAUUGGACAAUGGAUGGAAAUCUGAUCCAGCCAUGCCGCGUGAAGGAAGAAGGUCCUAUGGAUUGUAAACUUCUUUUGUAUGGGAGCAAUAAGGCCUACGAGUAGGUUGAUGAGAGUACCAUACGAAUAAGCACCGGCUAACUCCGUGCCAGCAGCCGCGGUAAUACGGAGGGUGCAAGCGUUAUCCGGAUUUAUUGGGUUUAAAGGGUGCGUAGGCGGUUAUUUAAGUCAGUGGUGAAAGUUUUGGGCUCAACCGGAAAAUUGCCAUUGAUACUGGGUAGCUAGAAUAUGGUUGCUGUGAGUAGAAUGUGUGGUGUAGCGGUGAAAUGCAUAGAUAUCACACAGAAUACCGAUUGCGAAGGCAUCUCACAAAGCCAUCAUUGACGCUGAGGCACGAAAGUGUGGGGAUCAAACAGGAUUAGAUACCCUGGUAGUCCACACUGUAAACGAUGAUAACUAGCUGUUGGCGAUACACAGUCAGUGGCCAAGCGAAAGCGAUAAGUUAUCCACCUGGGGAGUACGACCGCAAGGUUGAAACUCAAAGGAAUUGACGGGGGCCCGCACAAGCGGAAGAACAUGUGGUUUAAUUCGAUGAUACGCGAAGAACCUUACCCGGGCUCGAACGGUGCAGGAAUAUGGCAAAAAUGUCAUAGCUAACAAUAGCCUGUAUCCAGGUGCUGCAUGGUUG
rnacentral:rRNA from 1 species